UGGUGUGUGUAUAUGUAUGUUUUUUCUUCCCCCUUCCUUUUUCCAAAUCCUGAUGCGAGCCUAUACAAUGAGCCAACAGCUCCCCCUCGGGAAAGGACUGGGAACACAGUGUAAGAGUCUCCAGGGAAAGAACUUUUUUGCAACAAAGUGGCAGGCUUUAGGCUUUAUUUAUCUAAAGGCACAUAUGCUCAGAGCCGCCACGCCUACUUAUUGGAGUUCUCGGAGCUCCAUGACAACAAAAGAUCAUUGUCUCUUGUAAAAAGGCAUCACAUCCCUCCCGGUUUCAGACUAGGAUACUCUGGGAUCAAAAGAGAAAUCCAAAGGAAGGACCGGCUCCUUCCUCCCGGGCUCAAGCCUGGUGCCAGUGAGGAGCUGUGGGGUGACUCCCUUUCAGGCUGGACGUGAUUGGCUGAAAGGCCCUUGACUGACAGCUCGGGCCAAAAAGUUCUGGCAGCAUUGGUUUAAUGCAGAGGCAGAAGGGGAAGCAAACAAAAGAAGCGAAGAUGCGGUCAAAUUCCACUGGGAGUCAACUCCAAAGAGCUAAAGAACAUGGAAAGAGACUCAAGUUCAGAAUGUUUAAAUAAAUUUUUUGUUGUA